rfam:Vigna angularis cultivar Jingnong 6 scaffold173_87, whole genome shotgun sequence.
AGGCAGUGAUGACUAUUUUAUAUACCAUCAAACUGUGAAAGCUUAAUUGAGCUUGUUGAUGCCAUUUAUUUUCUCUGAGCCU